UCGAGCGAUGAUUAAAGAUAGCUUGCUAUUUUUAUGAAGAGCGGCGAACGGGUGAGUAACGCGUGGGAAAUCUGCCGAGUAGCGGGGGACAACGUUUGGAAACGAACGCUAAUACCGCAUAACAAUGAGAAUCGCAUGAUUCUUAUUUAAAAGAAGCAAUUGCUUCACUACUUGAUGAUCCCGCGUUGUAUUAGCUAGUUGGUAGUGUAAAGGACUACCAAGGCGAUGAUACAUAGCCGACCUGAGAGGGUGAUCGGCCACACUGGGACUGAGACACGGCCCAGACUCCUACGGGAGGCAGCAGUAGGGAAUCUUCGGCAAUGGGGGCAACCCUGACCGAGCAACGCCGCGUGAGUGAAGAAGGUUUUCGGAUCGUAAAACUCUGUUGUUAGAGAAGAACGUUAAGUAGAGUGGAAAAUUACUUAAGUGACGGUAUCUAACCAGAAAGGGACGGCUAACUACGUGCCAGCAGCCGCGGUAAUACGUAGGUCCCAAGCGUUGUCCGGAUUUAUUGGGCGUAAAGCGAGCGCAGGUGGUUUCUUAAGUCUGAUGUAAAAGGCAGUGGCUCAACCAUUGUGUGCAUUGGAAACUGGGAGACUUGAGUGCAGGAGAGGAGAGUGGAAUUCCAUGUGUAGCGGUGAAAUGCGUAGAUAUAUGGAGGAACACCGGAGGCGA
rnacentral:rRNA from 1 species